UUUGGUGGUGAUGCGCUUAGGGGACACACCCGUUCCCAUACCGAACACGUAGGUUAAGACCUAAGCGGCCGAUGGUACUUGUUGGGAGACUGACUGGAAGAGUAGGUGGCUGCCAAAC
rnacentral:rRNA from 1 species